rnacentral:rRNA from 1 species
GACGAACGCUGGCGGCGUGCCUAAUACAUGCAAGUUGAGCGAUGAAGAUUGGUGCUUGCACCAAUUUGAAGAGCAGCGAACGGGUGAGUAACGCGUGGGGAAUCUGCAUUUGAGCGGGGGACAACAUUUGGAAACGAAUGCUAAUACCGCAUCACAACUUUAAACAUAAGUUUUAAGUUUGAAAGAUGCAAUUGCAUCACUCAAAGAUGAUCCCGCGUUGUAUUAGCUAGUUGGUGAGGUAAAGGCUCACCAAGGCGAUGAUACAUAGCCGACCUGAGAGGGUGAUCGGCCACAUUGGGACUGGGACACGGCCCAAACGCCUAAGGGAGGCAGCAGGAGGGGAUUUUCGGCAAGUGACGAAAGUCUGACCGAGCAACGGCGCGGGAGUGAAGAAGGGUUUCGGAUCGGAAAACUCUGUUGGUAGAGAAGAACGUUGGGUAGGGUGGAAAGCUCAUCAAGUGACGGUAACUACCCAGAAAGGGGCGGCUAACUACGUG